CUAACGCUGGCAGUGCGUCUUAAGCAUGCAAGUCAAACGGGAUGUAGCAAUACAUCUAGUGGCGAACGGGUGAGUAACGCGUGGAUGAUCUACCUACGAGAUGGGGAUAACUAUUAGAAAUAGUAGCUAAUACCGAAUAAAGUCAAUCAAUUUGUUAAUUGAUGAAAGGAAGCCUUUAAAGCUUCGCUUGUAGAUGAGUCUGCGUCUUAUUAGCUAGUUGGUAGGGUAAAUGCCUACCAAGGCGAUGAUAAGUAACCGGCCUGAGAGGGUGAACGGUCACACUGGAACUGAGAUACGGUCCAGACUCCUACGGGAGGCAGCAGCUAAGAAUCUUCCGCAAUGGGCGAAAGCCUGACGGAGCGACACUGCGUGAAUGAAGAAGGUCGAAAGAUUGUAAAAUUCUUUUAUAAAUGAGGAAUAAGCUUUGUAGGAAAUGACGAAGUGAUGACGUUAAUUUAUGAAUAAGCCCCGGCUAAUUACGUGCCAGCAGCCGCGGUAAUACGUAAGGGGCGAGCGUUGUUCGGGAUUAUUGGGCGUAAAGGGUGAGUAGGCGGAUAUAUAAGUCUAUGCAUAAAAUACCACAGCUCAACUGUGGAACUAUGUUGGAAACUAUAUGUCUAGAGUCUGAUAGAGGAAGUUAGAAUUUCUGGUGUAAGGGUGGAAUCUGUUGAUAUCAGAAAGAAUACCGGAGGCGAAGGCGAACUUCUGGGUCAAGACUGACGCU
rnacentral:rRNA from 1 species